UACAGAUAGUGAUCAUCGUGAGAGAAGUGAUUUUUUUCUCAUUGCUUUUGUGUGUCUCUGAAAUUCCUACUCUGAGCCUGAGAGCUGGUGUUUCUAGAAAUUGGGAGACACUUCCCUUGAAAUCAGAAAGUUAUCUCAGCAUCAUCAGAUGGGAAAAUGUGGAUGGAACCUAUAGAAGAUGAUACACAAUAUCUUUCCAAUAUUUUAAAGCAAGUGAAAUAUGGGUAAAAUGAACACCAAGAACAGCAUUGAAUGGCAAAUGAGCCUCCUUCUACCACCACUAGCAUCCUAUAGAAUUGAAAAUCAGAACAAAGGGGUGAGAAGAAAUCAACAGAACAUAGGACCUAACACAUUUGUGAAGAAUGACAGAUAUUUUCCAAGAAAUCUUCAGAUCAACCUGGAUCCAAUUUUCUUAACUCAUGAAUGGUUUUUGAGCACACAAUGGAUGGUGGGCAUUUAUAUUAUGUCUCCUUACAAGCAGACAACGUCCUACAGAAUCAGUGAGAGC